rnacentral:misc_RNA from 1 species
CCGAGUUAGGGUCUUUAAUGGCCUGACCUCCAACCCCUUGUAUACCACUCGUUUUAUUGUUGCUUCGGUGGGCUGAAAAUGCCUGCCGAGGCCCAACAAAAACCUUAGUAAUGAUGUUGUCUGAGUUAUAAAGUAAUAAUUA